GUCCGAUGUAUCGGUCAAUAUUCCAUUUAUUAUCCAAAUCACCUUUAAACAGGUGAGUUUAGGUCAGCUUUUAGGACAGAACUCAGUGUUUCAGCUUGUUUGCAGUUUUCUGGUAGUUUGGUGGCUCUUGUUAUAAGGAGAAUAACCUGCCAAUUGAGCUAGUAGUUUUUUCAUUAAUAUUAAAGAAUUAUUUAUUCCAUAGAAGCUCCUAUUUCUUGCUGAAAAGUUCCUUGUAAGUUCUUUUUGUCUCAUUUCCAGUGUGCUAAGAUAUUCGCAGCAGAAACUAAACGCAAAAUCACUUUUGUGUUUUUUGCGGUUUAGUACGCAGCACAUCCGUGAAAACGUCCUCUUAACUUCACCGCUCCGUCUGCUCAGGGUCCGAGCCGACAUGUAAAAGUUAAGCUUCACGCUGAAAACCGAAGAUGAAAGCAAAACUGAGACGAGACGACAGAAACCAGAAGGACAACAACAGGACAGCUGAGGAGAAACACAACAAAGAUGUUACAGAAGGUUUUUCUGACUGGACGUACCGACGGAUCAAUGCUGUGGUCGGCGUGGCGACGAUGGGUCUGAUGAUGGCCUUCUCGCUGUUUUCAUUACAAAAAGUCACCUUUUAGCAGUGAGUCAGUAACGGCAAUACGUUUUUAUUUUUCAUUCCUUGUUAUCUGCCUCUUCAGCGCCGGCUGACCCCGGCGGACGACAAGUCCCGAUUAGGAGAUGAUUCCCAAUUUCCUGACAUCUGUUUUGUGGCGAGCUGGAAACUCUGAAAAGUUCUCCGCUGAGAAAGUUUCCAGAAGGCGACAUUAAUCCGAACGGCGAGGGAAGGAGGGAGGAGAAGGGGAGUCUUCUUGUCGGAUUGAAGCACAAAAGUUCAGAAAAACCCACAUCUGCUUGUCCAGAGCGUCAGUCAGACUUUAAUUCGCUGCCUAUCAGAACAAUAAGCCCUCCGCAAUAAAAUGUCAUGUGAAAAGCUCAUUGUAACUCAGAUUUCCCCCCUUCAAUAAAUCCCAAAUCAGUGUUGUUUUUUUUACCGUAAGUCUUUUGUUCUCCUUGAUGUUUGUGUCCAGAAAUGUGACAUGGUUUCAGGAAAAGAUUGAAGAUGAAAGGCAGUGAUUGCAGACGCAUAUUCAAACGACAGGAUCUGAGCCUCGCUCUGCGCUACCAGAAUCCAUUUUUAUUGCGGAUUGGAAUGCAGUGUUGUUAAAUUUGUGGCACCUUUAUCUUUCCUUGCAAGAUUUAGAGUGUAAUAAGCGCGAGUGAAUAAAAGCCCUGUAUGCAAUUGUAAUGUUGCAUACAUAUCUGGCCUGCCUCACUUCGUCCCACGCAGGUUUUUACCUUAAAGUUUAGCUAUUGUAACAAAUCUCAAGCUGAAUAUAUUUCACCGAGAGUUGGGCAGAAAUGCAGCAAAUAUACGUGAGGUAUUCAGAGACAUAAAGUUUUUGCUUUUAAUACCAUCUUAAAAACCCUCUGAAUCUUUGGCCAGAAGCAGUAAAACUGGAAUAUUUAUGAAUGGACGGUGUGGUUAUUGUAGGAGUCUUUAUUUUUUUACAUGGCCAGGUUCUCUUUUCUCUUGCAAUGGAAACUUUUUAAAGGAGCAGUAUUAUGUAAAAUCAACUUUUUGGAGCUUCACAUUCCUCAUCAAAAACCUUCCUGGUGUGUUGCCUUGAUUCUUUCACACAUGUUUAAGAAAUACUUUUAUUUCCCAUGGCAACCACUCAGCUGUAGAAAAUUCCUGGGUGGACCUGGCUUCCCGGCGACUCCCGGUCUCAGCUCCUUCAGACUAGCCAGCAACAAUUAGCAAACACCUGGUGGACCUGAGCAUCUGCUGAGCUCCUUAUAGGAGAUACUUCUCAGUAAAACGUUGGUAAAAAUGUUGUUAAAGGGUUAAUAGAGGAGCCAUGAUGUGAUGACUUCCUGAAGGCGGAGUUUCAGAAAGAGGAGGAGCUUCUUAAAGAGACAGAGCCUCAAUUUGAAGGUGUUAAAUUACAAAGUCAAAGUCAUAUUUGGUAAAUAGAGCAACCAAAGGUAACAGUUACUUGAUUGCGCUAUAACAUGGCACUAUGUGGCACUACAAAUAAAUAACACUGCCCCUUUAAGAAGGAGAUUGAAGCCAGCUGUCAUGUUGACUUUACUUUCGUGUGUGAUUUUAAUGUCUGCAGUAGGUGCUACAUGAAUACAUUUUGCUCAUUUUCUUCAUUUUACAACUGGAUUCCUCCAUUAUAGUGUGCAAAGACAUUCUGUCGUUACUCAGCGUGCCACAUAUGAGAGAUAGUCCAAAACAACAACGUAUGAGCCAAAGUGUAAGCCGGUUCAGUCAAAUCAAAAGCGCACCACUGCUUCAACUGGCAACCUGUCUGAUCGGCACAGCAGGCGUCGAAAGGCAAUUAAGAACAGGAAGACAAACUAAUCUACAGAUUAAGUAAACUGGUGAGUCAGAUUACUAUGGGUUUGCAUUUAUCGUAUUAAUUAUCAUUUAAUUUGAACCAUUUCUUAUCACCGUAAGAAAAAAAAAAAUUUGAUUCAUCAUUGUCGCAAUACAUUUCAGGUAAUGUUAAAAGAAACUGACUCAGAUGUUAUUUUUCACUAUUUUCUGCUUUUAUUUCCCUCUAGAGCUUCAGUAAAUAUAAGUACAUCUGAAAACCUAAUUAAAUAAAGUCUCUAUGUUCAGGUUAGUGGCAUUAAUCACAUAGUUUGUGUGACUGGUGUCCUAAAGCAGGACAUCAGAGCCGUAUUUGUGUUUGUGUGGCUGUGAAGGCCAUUUUUUCCAGUUGCAUCAUCACAACAGAAUGAUAAAAUGUGGUGAUAAGAGUCAUGACACCAUCGGUGCGUCUCUAAUAUUUGACUUGCACAGCACUGAGAUUUCGCACAGUCAGACACAUUCAAGUCUUGUGUGUGUGUGUUUUUUUUUCUUUGCUUUGGAGGUUUAAGAGGUGAAAAUUACUGUCUGACUGAAAAAAAUAAAUAACGUGCAUAAUUUGACAUAAUGUGCUUUUUCAUUGUUGUCACGGGCGAUUAUCUGACUGAGCAUGUCUGUUUUCCUUUCUGUUCUGCUCGGCUCCUUUUGUUUAUCGUCACCCGCUGUCAGAACGUUACGCACAGUUAGCCCGAUUUCCCCGUCCUGGCUCGACGACCCCCGCCGCUCUCAUGUUUAAUAAUCCUCUCAGAGGUUUGGCUGAAUGUGCAGCUGAUCAGGUCAGAUUGAUCGUCGGCUCGGAUGACGAUCUCUAACACGUUUAACACAACGCCUGUUCCUGUUUCUGUUUUCUUUCCUCUGAUUGAAACUGUCAGCCAAACUAACAGUUCGUUUAAAAUAAUUUCUCCCAGAAUUUCUGCUGUUUGUUUCAAUUUUUAUUUAUUUUUUUCCCCCACAGCUAGAAAGUGCAAAGUUGGCCUCAAACCACAGAGACACGGCAGCUGUAUUAAAAUCUAAUUACUUCUUGGAAUUUUGCUGUUUUGUUUUUGUUUCCUGUCAUAUUCAGGAUUCUUCUUGUUGAGUUUCCUUUGAAUAAAUAUUUUUAUUCUACUGUU